rnacentral:rRNA from 1 species
AUUGAACGCUGGCGGCAGGCCUAACAAAUGCAAGUCGAGCGAGCGGCGGACGGGUGAGUAAUGUAUGGGGACUGCCCGAAAGAGGGGGAUAACUACUGGAAACGGUAGCUAAUACCGCAUACUAUCGGAUAACCCAUAUGGGAUGAGCUAGUAGGUGAGGUAAUGGCUCACCUAGGCGACGAUCCCUAGCUGGUCUGAGAGGAUGAUCAGCCACACUGGGACUGAGACACGGCCCAGACUCCUACGGGGGCAGCAGUGGAGAAUAUUGCACAAUGGGCGCAGUCCUGAUGCAGCCGUGGCGCGUGUAUGAAGAAGGCCCUAGGGUUGUAAAGUACUUUCAGUCGGGAGGCGUUACCGACAGAAGAAGCACCGGCUAACUCCGUGCCAGCAGCCGCGGUAAUAC